AGGGCACCACCAGGGGUGGAGCCUGCGGCUUAAUUUGACUCAACACGGGAAAACUCACCCGGCCCGGACACUGGAAGGAUUGACAGAUUGAGAGCUCUUUCUUGAUUCAGUGGGUGGUGGUGCAUGGCCGUUCUUAGUUGGUGGAGUGAUUUGUCUGGUUAAUUCCGAUAACGAACGAGACUCUAGCCUACUAAAUAGAUCGUCGGCUUACAAACGCCGGCGAGACUUCUUAGAGGGACAGGCGGUGAUUCAACCGCACGAAACAGAGCAAUAACAGGUCUGUGAUGCCCUUAGAUGUCCGGGGCCGCACGCGCGCUACACUGAAGUGAUCAGCGUGCUUUUUCAACCUACUCUGUCAAGAGUGGGGAACCCAAUGAACCUUCUUCGUGAUUGGGAUAGGGGAUUGUAAUUAUUCCCCUUGAACGAGGAAUUCCCAGUAAGCGCGAGUCAUAAGCUCGCGUUGAUUACGUCCCCGCCCUUUGUACACACCGCCCGUCGCUACUACCGAUUGAAUGUUUU
rnacentral:rRNA from 1 species